rnacentral:rRNA from 1 species
GAACGCGAAGAACCUUACCAGGUCUUGACAUCCCUCUGACCGCUCUAGAGAUAGAGCUUUCCUUCGGGACAGAGGUGACAGGUGGUGCAUGGUUGUCGUCAGCUCGUGUCGUGAGAUGUUGGGUUAAGUCCCGCAACGAGCGCAACCCCUAUUGUUAGUUGCCAUCACUUAGUUGGGCACUCUAGCGAGACUGCCGGUAAUAAACCGGAGGAAGGUGGGGAUGACGUCAAAUCAUCAUGCCCCUUAUGACCUGGGCUACACACGUGCUACAAUGGCUGGUACAACGAGUCGCAAGCCGGUGACGGCAAGCUAAUCUCUUAAAGCCAGUCUCAGUUCGGAUUGUAGGCUGCAACUCGCCUACAUGAAGUCGGAAUCGCUAGUAAUCGCGGAUCAGCACGCCGCGGUGAAUACGUUCCCGGGUCUUGUACACACC